rnacentral:rRNA from 1 species
CCUACGGGGGGCAGCAGUGGGGAAUAUUGGACAAUGGGGGGAACCCUGAUCCAGCCAUGCCGCGUGUGUGAAGAAGGCCCUCGGGUUGUAAAGCACUUUCAGUGAGGAAGAACGCCUGGUGGUUAAUACCCAUCAGGAAAGACAUCACUCACAGAAGAAGCACCGGCUAACUCCGUGCCAGCAGCCGCGGUAAUACGGAGGGUGCGAGCGUUAAUCGGAAUUACUGGGCGUAAAGCGCGCGUAGGUGGCUUGAUAAGCCGGUUGUGAAAGCCCCGGGCUCAACCUGGGAACGGCAUCCGGAACUGUCAAGCUAGAGUGCAGGAGAGGAAGGUAGAAUUCCCGGUGUAGCGGUGAAAUGCGUAGAGAUCGGGAGGAAUACCAGUGGCGAAGGCGGCCCUCUGGACUGACACUGACACUGAGGUGCGAAAGCGUGGGUAGCAAACAGGAUUAGAUACCCCUGUAGUC